rnacentral:tRNA from 1 species
AGGGCGGUGGCCAAGUGGUAAGGCACAGGUCUUUGGAACCUGCAUGCGUAGGUUCGAAUCCUACCCGCCCUGCCU